rnacentral:tRNA from 1 species
GGACCCGUGGUGUAGGGGUAAGCGCGAUUGCCUCUCACCCAGUCGGCCUGGGUUCGAUCCCAGAGGGUCCC